GUACUUUUCUCUUUUUUUCACAGUCGGGUCUUAAUUUGACUAGUUUUGCUGUAAAUUUAGAUAUACAGGGAAUGGCGUUCUUCCUUUAUUUCUACUGUUUAUAAACCAGCUUAGUGAUGCAUUACUGCCACCAGCUGGUCAGGAGGGGAAUUACAGAAAUGGAUGACGGGGAAGUCGGGCACAAAGUGUGCUCACCAGUCAGAGGUGGAAAUCCUCUCGGUCCUGGCAAACCAAAGGGCUCAAAUUCAGGAAUGUUUGUUGAGUCAAAGUUGGAGCUGGAGAUGGGAUCUGUAGAGCGUCCGCGGUUGGUCACUUUGGGAGGGAGUCCGGAGGGGGUAGGGGGGGCAGAGGAGGGGGUCACAGUGGCUCCUUGACUGGACAUGGUGGCGAUCGCUCAGGACAAAUGAUCCGACACUGGACCGCAAGAGGAGAGAUGAUGGAAAACAAAUACUACGUCACUCUUUAUGAAUUUUUUUCAUGAUGACUUGAAACAGAAAAUAAAUAACUCGCAAUUUUU